rnacentral:rRNA from 1 species
UACGGAGGAUGCGAGCGUUGUCCGGAUUUACUGGGCGUAAAGGGAGCGUAGGCGGACUUUUAAGUGAGAUGUGAAAUACUCGGGCUCAACUUGAGUGCUGCAUUUCAAACUGGAAGUCUAGAGUGCAGGAGAGGAGAAUGGAAUUCCUAGUGUAGCGGUGAAAUGCGUAGAGAUUAGGAAGAACACCAGUGGCGAAGGCGAUUCUCUGGACUGUAACUGACGCUGAGGCUCGAAAGCGUGGGGAGCAAACGGG